rnacentral:rRNA from 1 species
AUUGAACGCUGGCGGCAGGCCUAACACAUGCAAGUCGAGCGGAUGAAGGGAGCUUGCUCCUGGAUUCAGCGGCGGACGGGUGAGUAAUGCCUAGGAAUCUGCCUGGUAGUGGGGGAUAACGUCCGGAAACGGGCGCUAAUACCGCAUACGUCCUGAGGGAGAAAGUGGGGGAUCUUCGGACCUCACGCUAUCAGAUGAGCCUAGGUCGGAUUAGCUAGUUGGUGGGGGAAAGGCCUACCAAGGCGACGAUCCGUAACUGGUCUGAGAGGAUGAUCAGUCACACUGGAACUGAGACACGGUCCAGACUCCUACGGGAGGCAGCAGUGGGGAAUAUUGGACAAUGGGCGAAAGCCUGAUCCAGCCAUGCCGCGUGUGUGAAGAAGGUCUUCGGAUUGUAAAGCACUUUAAGUUGGGAGGAAGGGCAGUAAGUUAAUACCCUGCUGUUUUGACGUUACCAACAGAAUAAGCACCGGCUAACUUCGUG